rnacentral:rRNA from 1 species
AAUCAACGCUGGCGGCGUGCCUAACACAUGCAAGUCGAACGGGAAAGUGGAGCAAUCCAUGAGUAUAGUGGCGACCGGGUGAGUAACACGUGACUAACCUACCUUCAAGUGGGGGAUAACCUCGGGAAACCGGGGCUAAUACCGCAUAAUAUCCUUGUUAUGAGAAAGCAGGGAUCAAAGGAGCAAUUCGCUGGAAGAGGGGGUCGCGGCUGAUUAGCUAGUUGGUGGGGUAAUGGCCCACCAAGGCUUUGAUCGGUAGCCGGCCUGAGAGGGCGCACGGCCACACUGGAACU